ensembl:lncRNA novel transcript
CAUAUGGUUAAAAAAAAAUCAGCACAGUGGAAUCUAAUUGUCUCCCUUGGAAUCUGGGAUGGCUGUCCUACUUAUUUGACCAACAGAAUUUGUCAGAAGGGACUUUCUGUAACUUCUGAAGCUGUCUCAUAAGAAGCCUUGCAGAUUCUGCUCAUGUCUCUUUCCUCUCUGGGAAACAAGUCGCGACUCAGGGAUAAGCCUGAGACACAUGGAGAGAACAUCCUGAUCAAUCUGGUCUUUGCUGCUACCCUGGUCAACAGCCUGAGCUGGAUACCUGGCUGACAAGUACCACCUUUUUCCUACACAGAUGACAACCCAGCCCAUGAGCACCAGGAAAAUUAAACAAAAAGCCGAAAGAAAAAAGAAAAGAAGAAGUCUGGGAGUGAAGUUAUAUGCUUAAAGGCAUGCAUCUAGCAAAUGGCAAAAAAAAUGGAUGAAGACACAAGACUGAUUGUCACUAAAAACCAUGUGGUAUGUUUGAGCAAGUUUUGCAGCCACAUCAGUUUCUGAUUAGACUUACAAUUUAAGUGGGGAAGUGACUUUGGAAGAGACAUGCGUGCUGUCAGCAGAUGGGAGAGAGGAUGGAGAAAGAUGGAGGGAGGCUGCUGUAACACCUGUUCUGGUUGGGAUUCUGAAUGAAUAUGAAAGAUGCCACUGCUACUCCUUCACUUGCUCAUUCUGCAAAAGUUUGUAGAUCUUCUGCAAGGAGAACGGCAUUGUUAACUACCUACAGGAAGUGGUGUUGAUUUCCAAGAAAGAUCUUGUUCUUCAAACUCUGUUACAGCGUCUUCUCUGGAGAAGUCAACAGUGAGAUGGGCUAAAUGAAGAAGGAGCAGCUUAUUGUCUUUGUUGGUUUUCUUUAUUUUCCUUCGAAGCAUCUGGGGGAAGAGGAAGACAAUGGAUGAGAUGGCGUAUGUUCUUUCCGCCCUGUGAAUGAAUCAGAUUUGAACUCCUAAGCAAAAUAGAAAAUGCAGAAAUGGUGCUCAGGCAAAACCUGAGAGACACCGGGCUCAAGCGACUCUCCUCUGAAGUCCAUCUGAUAAAGUCUGAAUUAUGGAUAAGUCCUUUCCCCCUCAAUAGUCUACUGCUUACUAAAGUGUAGCUCAAUGACUCUGUGGGCUUGGGUAAUCAGCAGGUAAGCAUAGCUAUGCCCAAUGAAGCAGGGGCUGUGAGAAGAAGCCUUGAAGAGUACCUAAAGUAGAAAAUAAGUGAACUUUCUCCUAAGCCCAUAGGAAACAUCACUAUCCUGCUGAAGGCAGGGCAGAGGGAACACAGCAGAGUAGGCUCAGAAUAACUGGGAUUUGGGCACUGAUAUUAAUGUCACCAUAUCUACACUUAUUGAUUGUUGAGAUUAUACAUUUGGCUUGAAACCACAGGAACUAAUAUACUCUAAAUAUAAGCUGAGAAAAAUUAAAAAUAACCACAACUACAACAGUAGAAAGAGAAAAUAUAUGAAUGCCAAGAAUCUAAUGUGUAAAUUAACUACAAGGGUUUAGAAGUUUUGGGCAUCUCCCUGGGGAUUAGCUGUGCUCAGUCUCCCCUCCAGGAAAUCAUUUACAACUCUAUGUCUGUUACCCCAAAAUGACUUAAAUGAAGUUUAGGAUAAGACAGAGACAAGUUCAGAACAAGACAUGGGUGAGGUUCAGAAGAAUGAAAUUGAAAUUAUAUGAAUUUCCAAUUGUUAGAGAUGCAUGAGUGAGAUACAGGUUUUCAAGUGUUGUGAUGUCAUACCAUAAAAUGAUUAUAAACAUUUAGGAAACAAUCUCUCCUGUGGAAUCAGGAAUCAUUACUAAAUAUCACAAUUAUAGUGGAGACGCUGAAGA